CAGCCGCCGCGGUAAUACGAGGGGGGCAAGCGUUGUUCGGAUUUAUUGGGCGUAAAGGGUGCGUAGGCGGUUUGGCAAGUUUGGUGUGAAAUCUUCGGGCUCAACUCGAAGUCUGCAUCAAAAACUGCCGGGCUUGAGUAUGGGAGAGGUGAGUGGAAUUUCCGGUGUAGCGGUGAAAUGCGUAGAUAUCGGAAGGAACACCUGUGGCGAAAGCGGCUCACUGGACCAUAACUGACGCUGAGGCACGAAAGCUAGGGGAGCAAACAGGAUUAGAUACCCCUGUAGUCCCUGUCUCUUAUAC
rnacentral:rRNA from 1 species